rnacentral:snoRNA from 1 species
ACUGUGGCCAUUGUCAGAAAUGCCUCACAGAGUAACUCUGAGGUUUCAUUUUGCUCACAGAUCUGUUUUUUAGGCCUAUAGUAAGGAACUACAAGACAGCA